CCAGUCUUAUAAAGAGUUCUAACUUGACCUUCGUUAUUUCGGCUUUCCGAAAAAAAAGAUGUGAAAGUAUUUUUAGUCUAGUUGUAGUAUAAGUCAAGAGUAUGUUUUGGUAGCAUAUUAAAAUAUUUAAAAGAUUUGCAAUUAUAAAUUACGUUGUAAGAUAUAGCUGUUCCUGGAGAGAUGGAUUGUAUAGACGUUACCCACAUCUCUAUAGACUUUAUAAUCUUUUAUUUACCUGGUCAUCAUUCAACUUAAUUUUAGUGAAACACAAUCAGCC
rnacentral:lncRNA from 1 species